rnacentral:rRNA from 1 species
UACGUAGGGGGCAAGCGUUGUUCGGAUUUACUGGGCGUAAAGCGCGUGUAGGCGGUGCGUUAAGUCAGCCGUGAAAGCCCUAAGCUUAACUUAGGAAAGCCGGUUGAUACUGACGCACUAGAGUGUAGAAGAGGCAACUGGAAUUCUCGGUGUAGCGGUGAAAUGCGUAGAUAUCGAGAGGAACACCGGUGGCGAAGGCGAGUUGCUGGUCUAACACUGACGCUGAGACGCGAAAGCUAGGGGAGCAAACAGG